GUAGGGACCAAGCGUUGUUCGGAUUUACUGGGCGUAAAGGGCGCGUAGGCGGCAAUUCAAGUCAUCUGUGAAAUCUCCGGGCUUAACCCGGAACGGUCAGAUGAUACUGCUUUGCUAGAGUGCGGAAGGGGCAAUCGGAAUUCUUGGUGUAGCGGUGAAAUGCGUAGAUAUCAAGAGGAACACCUGAGGUGAAGACGGGUUGCUGGGCCGACACUGACGCUGAUAGCGCGAAAGCCAGGGGAGCAAACGGGAUUAGAUACCCCGGUAGUCCUGGCCCUAAACGAUGAAUACUUGGUGUCUGGAGUUAUUAGUGCUCCGGGUGCCGUCGCUAACGUUUUUAGUAUUCCGCCUGGGGAGUACGCUCGCAAGAGUG
rnacentral:rRNA from 1 species